AAUGGAGGCAACUCUGACGCAGCCAUGCCGCGUGCAGGAAGAAGGCGCUACGCGUUGUAAACUGCUUUUAACCGGGAAGAAACCCCAGGACGUGUCCUGGGUUGACGGUACCGGAGGAAUAAGCACCGGCUAACUUCGUGCCAGCAGCCGCGGUAAUACGAAGGGUGCAAGCGUUAUCCGGAUUCAUUGGGUUUAAAGGGUGCGUAGGCGGGGCGUUAAGUCAGUGGUGAAAUCCUGCAGCUUAACUGUAGAAUUGCCAUUGAUACUGGCGCUCUUGAGUACGCUUGGCGUGGGCGGAAUGUGCCGUGUAGCGGUGAAAUGCUUAGAUAUGGCACAGAACACCGAUCGCGAAGGCAGCUCACGAAAGCGAAACUGACGCUGAGGCACGAAAGCGUGGGGAUCGAA
rnacentral:rRNA from 1 species